rnacentral:rRNA from 1 species
GAAUCUUCCGCAAUGGACGAAAGUCUGACGGAGCAACGCCGCGUGAGUGAUGAAGGUUUUCGGAUCGUAAAGCUCUGUUGUUAGGGAAGAACAAGUGCAAGAGUAACUGCUUGCACCUUGACGGUACCUAACCAGAAAGCCACGGCUAACUACGUGCCAGCAGCCGCGGUAAUACGUAGGUGGCAAGCGUUGUCCGGAAUUAUUGGGCGUAAAGGGCUCGCAGGCGGUUUCUUAAGUCUGAUGUGAAAGCCCCCGGCUCAACCGGGGAGGGUCAUUGGAAACUGGGAAACUUGAGUGCAGAAGAGGAGAGUGGAAUUCCACGUGUAGCGGUGAAAUGCGUAGAGAUGUGGAGGAACACCAGUGGCGAAGGCGACUCUCUGGUCUGUAACUGACGCUGAGGAGCGAAAGCGUGGGGAGCGAACAGG